rnacentral:rRNA from 1 species
UACGUAGGGGGCAAGCGUUGUCCGGAAUCAUUGGGCGUAAAGCGCGUGUAGGCGGUGCGGUAAGUCUGCUGUGAAAGUCCAGGGCUCAACCCUGGGAUGCCGGUCGAUACUGCCGGACUAGAGUUCGGAAGAGGCGAGUGGAAUUCCCGGUGUAGCGGUGAAAUGCGCAGAUAUCGGGAGGAACACCAAUGGCGAAGGCAGCUCGCUGGGACGUUACUGACGCUGAGACGCGAAAGCGUGGGGAGCAAACAGG